GACGAACGCUGGCGGCGUGCCUAACACAUGCAAGUCGAACGGAAAGGCCCGGCUUUUGUGGGGUGCUCGAGUGGCGAACGGGUGAGUAACACGUGAGUAACCUGUCCUUGACUUUGGGAUAACUUCAGGAAACUGGGGCUAAUACAGGAUAGGAGCUUCUGCUGCACGGUGGGGGUUGGAGAGUUUCGGCGGUGGGGGAUAGAAUAGCGGCUUAUCAGCUUGUUGGUGGGGUAGUGGCUGACCAAGGUUACGACGGGUAGCCGGCCUGAGAGGGUGGCCGGCCACAUUGGGACUGCGGUACGGCCCAGACUCCUACCGGAGGCAGCAGUCGGGAGUAUUGCGCAAUGAGCGGAAGCCUGAUGCAGCAACGCCGCGUGCGGAAUAACGGCCUUCGGGUUGUAAACCGCUUUCGCAUGUGACGAAGCGUGAGUGACGGUAAUGGGUAAAAAAGCACCGGCUAACUACGUG
rnacentral:rRNA from 1 species